rnacentral:antisense_RNA from 1 species
CGGGAGCCAAAGAAGUUUAUUUACUCCAAGGGGUGACAGGAAGGCAGAGCGCUCAAGAGGAGAGACCCAGACAUAUCAACCAGGGGCUUCCCUGAAAUUUGGAAUUUCUUUUCCAA